rnacentral:rRNA from 1 species
UACGAGAGGCCCAAACGUUAUUCGGAUUUACUGGGCUUAAAGAGUUUGUAGGCGGUUCGGUAAGUGAGAUGUGAAAGCCCUCGGCUCAACCGAGGAAUUGCGUUUCAAACUGCCGGGCUCGAGGGAGAUAGAGGUGAGCGGAACUGAUGGUGGAGCGGUGAAAUGCGUUGAUAUCAUCAGGAACACCAGAGGCGAAGGCGGCUCACUGGGUCUCUUCUGACGCUGAGGCGCGAAAGCCAGGGGAGCGAACGGG